GAUCAAGGAGGAAAAAUUUGUAUCCACACAUACCACCCAAAGCAGUCAAAUCAAUAUCUCCAUCAGGCAAAUAGGUAUUUAGAGGUACAACUAAAUCACGGCAAGGUAAUUAAAUGAAUACUAUCAUUUAUCAUUUUCGCUAAAGCGAAAGGUUAAUACAAAUAAAUAAAUUGCGGCAAUGUAAGUUUCAGCCAGACAACAAAUUAAUCUAAACAAACAAUUUAUAUGCAGAAUUCAAAUUCACCCAAAUAAAUUUUCAUGCCCAAUUCAUAAACUAUACAUACAAAUAUAUCAGAAAUUGGUUGUUUUGUCGCUCAAUAAGCACAACAAUUUGAAUAAAAAAAGUCAAGGACAAAGAUUUAUACCUUUGUUUUCUGAGAUUUGUGCUCGGAUCCUUGCCAAUAUUAGAUGCAUGCACAUAAAUAUCUAACUCUAUAAUAACCUGAAACAAACAAAAGAGAUGCAUAGGGAGAAAUAAAAUACAAAGUAACAACUUCAAUCUGAACAAUCAAGACGGUGAAUUUUCGAUCGCAGCUGUUGUCCUUGCUCAGAAGAUCUGCAACAAAAGCCAAAAUGCAUCAUUUUAGAUGAUAAUUAUGCUCAAUCAAGAGACGAAAAAACAGUAGAAAGAUCGCAGAGACGAAGAGAGAGAGAGCGAGUGAAAACAAUUGCCUAACCUUGGCUUUUUUGCCGAUGGUGAAAACUCUAGGUCCCUUUCUCUUCUUCACAGAAGGGAGACAUAGCGAGAAAUUUUGGGAUAGGGAAUGACAAAAUCAUACCAUUUUGCAUGUCGAAGAUCCUCUGCGAUUUUGACAGAGAUGGAGAUGUCUCAAAAUUAAGUUUGGGUUACAGAUAUGUGGUUUUUGCAUAGUGGCAAAGACAGAGAUGGAGCUCCGAUGCGAGAUUAGAAAGAAAAAUGGAAGGUUUUGAAUGCCAGGGAUAUAAGGGUUUAGGAGCUGAGAUGCAAGUUUAGAAAGAAAAAAAGGAAUGUCUUGAAUGCCAAGAAGAAAUGGGGGAGAAAGAGAAUAGCAGAGAGAUCAAAAAAUGAAAAAAUGAAGGGAGUUAUUAGACGGACGUAGGCUUUGUCGUCAGGGACAAAAUCGGUAAGUCAAUGUUGGACCAUAUUAAUUGGACUGGUUUGGUGUUGGGCUUUAUCCUAACCAUUAAAUAAAGUUAGUACAUGG
rnacentral:lncRNA from 1 species